UACGGGGGGGGCAAGCGUUGUUCGGAAUUACUGGGCGUAAAGGGCUCGUAGGCGGCCAACUAAGUCAGACGUGAAAUCCCCAGGCUUAACCUGGGAACUGCGUCUGAUACUGGAUGGCUUGAAUUCGGGAGAGGGAUGCAGAAUUCCAGGUGUAGCGGUGAAAUGCGUAGAUAUCGUAAGGAAGACCAGUGGCGAAGGCGGGUCUCUGGACAGUUCCUGACGCUGAGGCACGAAGGUCAGGGGAGCAAACGGG
rnacentral:rRNA from 1 species